rnacentral:lncRNA from 1 species
GGCCGUGGGAUUAGUCGUGGUGCGUGCAAGCUGGCCCGGACACCCACGUAAAUCAAAAAAAAAAAGAAACGCUCCGUUUAAUCCAUUCGCUUUUGGCUGAAACAAAACUUCAAAGUCCAUGGCCGCUUUUGUUUCAUUCGGUCUUGUUAUUUCCCUCUGUGCCCUUAACUCCUCCACUGCUUCCUCAUCCAGAAUUUAUUCCAAAAUAAUACUGAUGAAUACAGCCGCAAGGAACAGAGUGGCUGCUUCUAUAAAUAUUAUAUCAAAGCAUAACUGCGUCAUGUGCCUGGCAGUUUUAUUGAGUCUCUUCUUUUUGAUGCGCAGAAGAACAUCAACAUUAGGCGCUGACAAAUCUUUCGAAGAAUUUCCCACGGCUGUCAAGCUUCAACUAGGCAAAUCCGGUCCUUUUGCCUCAACCAACAAUGGUGUCAAACCAAAAGAAAUCAAAUAAUCAACGAAGAAAAAGCAAAUUAACAACUGAAACCUAUAAGCUCGGCCACCGACAACCCUAUCUCCCAUGGGAAACAACCUGACAAAGAAAUGCAAAAGGGCAGCACAUUCAGCAGCCAUGGAGAGAACAAAAAUCCCAACCCAUCAUCCAUGGCACACAAAAAGCAAAGGAAAAGGACACAAAACGGUCUGGUUUCGACAGUAAAGGAAGUAGAAAUCGAGACUAAAGAGAUGCAGCUGAAAGGAGAAUGAAUCCCCUUCACGGCACGACGCCAUUUAAUAUAGUUUUUUAUCCAUUAAUUUAUCCGGCCGGGUGAACCUCCGGGCUCCGACUAACUAAAUAUCACGUGAAGAAAGUUUUCUUCAGCGUUUGCAAUAAAUUUGGUUUUGUUUUCCUGGUCCAGUUAACAAAGUUUGU